CGAGGCUGGAUGCCAACCCUGUUCCACAAAGUUCAAGGAGAAGCUGGAUGUCCUGUUUGAUCGCUUGUGACCAUUUGUACCACAGAUCUUCUCUGUUGUAUCCUGACCAGAGGCAGAAGUGAAUCCUCAGGUCUCCAGAGAAGUAACCCACAUUUCAUCGAUAAUUUUACCAACAAAUAAUAUCCACAUAUUUGUUACUAUGGCCUAAAGAAAUUACUCACGUGAGACGCUUACGGCCGAGGUCACGUGGGGUUCAAAGCAGAAGUAACUGCCUAGCGAAGAACAUGGAAACUCAUCAGCUGCAGAGACGAGCAGACGGCCCAAAGAGCAGAAGAGCGAGCACGCCGAUGUGAACUGUAUCGAGACCGCAGUUGACGGCUGAACGCCUUUGAUCCCACAUGACAGAGCGAUGAACUUUGGGUUUCGUGUGAAAGAGGAGGAAAAUCGAUAUUGUAAGGCCUCAUUUGUUAAAGCGUGGUGUGAACUGUGUCAAGAUUCAGAAACCUGCAUGAGAGAUAAAGUCCUUGAAGAUGAAGGUGAAUCAGAGAGAUCAGAGAUGUUAAGAGAGACACCGGGGUUUCUGAUAAGCCCCCGGAAGGGAUAAGGCGAGGCACGUACGACACGAGAGGUACGAAAGGCACGGAAGGCACGGUAGAAAAGUGACACGACACACCCCGGGAUUGCUCUGUCCUGCGCACCUCAGCACUGUGAGCCAAAGUCUUGGACUUCGACUUAGCUCUCAUAUGCGUGGGGACGAGAAGCCACGUGGGGCACAAGGGAAGGCCGCCUCACCAUCUGGCAUGUUUCUGGCAGGCUGUUGUCUCUUGGACAGGUACAAUAAAGAAAAC